UGGGGAAUAUUGCACAAUGGGCGCAAGCCUGAUGCAGCCAUGCCGCGUGUAUGAAGAAGGCCUUCGGGUUGUAAAGUACUUUCAGUCGGGAGGAAGGUGGUAAGGUUAAUAACCUUAUCAAUUGACGUAACCGACAGAAGAAGCACCGGCUAACUCCGUGCCAGCAGCCGCGGUAAUACGGAGGGUGCAAGCGUUAAUCGGAAUUACUGGGCGUAAAGCGCACGCAGGCGGUGGAUUGAGUCAGAUGUGAAAUCCCCGGGCUUAACCCGGGAAUUGCAUCUGAUACUGGUCAGCUAGAGUCUUGUAGAGGGGGGUAGAAUUCCAUGUGUAGCGGUGAAAUGCGUAGAGAUGUGGAGGAAUACCGGUGGCGAAGGCGGCCCCCUGGACAAAGACUGACGCUCAGGUGCGAAAGCGUGGGGAGCAAACAGG
rnacentral:rRNA from 1 species